UUUUUUUUUUUGCAACAUACAAAAUAAGUUAAAUGAUUCAGAAGGUUUUGAGCCAUGAAGUUCCCGAAUAACUGUGUUCUGGCUGUUCACGAGCAUGACAUGCAAGCUGCUGGUCUAUGACCAGAACUCAAUAAAUACAGAUCAAAUAAAACCGCAAAACACUUAAAUUAGAUUUCUUUAGAAACUGAUGAAAGUCAAGAAAAUAUAUACUUAGAAUUAACAGUUCCAUUCUUAACUUACAUCAUCCAGUGGCAAAAAGCACAAGGCAAGUAUUCAGUCCUUAGCAAACUUUCUAGCUUGUACCGGUUUGGACAAAAAAGGAAAAAAAAUUCCUUUAAAAAUGUUUUUUCUCAUUCAAAAUAUCCAAGAAAUUUAAUAAAUUUCUACUCAUCUAUUGUUAUGCCCUCUCAUAUAACUUAUGUAUAGGAUAGUAAUAUUUUAGUUAUUAAAAUAAAAAUAACAUCUUCAUUAACUGAAACGAUUACAAUGUGCCAGAAUUGGGUUUAAUGAAUUUUCCAAAGUGGUAUAAAUAUGAAAUGAAAAAAAAAAUUGUGCUCAGGUGUCCAAAAGGAGGAAAAAAAGUCCACAAAUGGGAUCCUAUUCUAAUUGACUUCCAGGAGGGUUUGCAUGAAUGAAUACAAAAAGUGGUGAGUGUAUAAUCUAAAGUGGUUAUAUACUAAGUUCAUUAAAUUUUGGCUUAUGACCUCCUUGCUUACUUGGGAAUUACUCUGUUCAACAUAUUACAGUUACUUAGCAAUUCUUGGCACUCAAAAGAUGUUAAAAGAUAAUUUAAGUUGGAGCAAAAUAUUUUGAAAACAAAUUAAGUGAACACAUAGCAACUCAAUUUAAAUACAUUGAUAGCAAAAGGCUUUGACCUUAAGGAUUGGCAUAAAAACGACACAAAAAAAUCAGUUAACUUGCCACUUCCAAAGUAGGUUUACAGGUACAUACUUUGGGAAAGGUAGAUAAAAUAGGAAUGGAUUUUAAUCUAAGAAGAUUCAAUAAUGCAUCAUAUUAAGCAGAAGAGGGCUAGGUAGAUUACAGCAGAUAUGCAGCCUUGGCAUUCUCUGCUUCUUGGAGAACGAGUAGGAUAUUUUGAGAAUGUCAAACAUCAGGAGAAACUGUUGCCUAGAUUUUCUGUAAUUAAAUGAUAUUUGUAAUUAUAUCUGUUGCAAUGCAGCCAUCUUAUUUCUUUCAAUAGUUAAUGAUGGAUUCAUUUUUAUUUCUUCUGAUACUUAUCUGAAGUGUGUGCGUGCGCACACACAAACAAAUACACAUGUACCAUUUAACUCUAGGUCUCUGAAUAGUUGUUCUAUAGCUGUGAGGCAUCACCUUGAAUAAUGGACCUGUUCCACUGUGUUAGUGAAGAGCGGAGUUCCUAGCUUUUUCUGAAUAUUGAACUUGUAGAUUCAUUAGGUUCUUUACAGUUGUGUGGUAGAACUAGCGAAUGGUUAACAUCUCUUAUGCCCACAAACAAGCUAAAAAGGCAUUCCUUGUGACAAAGGACAUUCCAUCAAUCCCACUUAAAAACAGCUAACAUUUCCUCAUCAUUUUGACUAUUAAGUUAAACAAGUAAAUGUCCAUGUUUUUCUUAAUGUAUGUACUUUGCUCAAAUAUAUAUUAUGGGAUGCAUUUCAUCAACCAAAAAGUAAAAACUGGAUAUGUGUAACACCCUUUUAAAAUUAAUUUGUUUAAAAAUUUUCAAAAGCUUCAUUAGCAUUUGAAGUUUUUGGUUCUUGGGCAGGUCACUUUUAUAUAGAUUACCAGUAGACAUGAAUUUAUUCUAAAUGAAACUCUCCUUUAUCCUCUGAAUCUGUAACCUUGAACAAUUGAAAAAAGGAUGUCGAGGAAAUACAACUUGAUGUACAUUCUUGAAAAUAUCUCUGCCAUCAUUUUGCAGUAAUGUGCCAAUGAUGGAAAAUGCUUUACACUAAACACUAUUUUAUCAGCACUGAUGUACAAAACCAAAAUGUUUUCAGUCUGAGUCAUUUUCACAUAUAUUUCAGUUCAAAGUUUCUGCUUUGUGAAAAGCUGACUAGUUUUCAGACCUUUACAGAAAUUGCAAACUAAAUAUACUGAAUAUUAAUCUACAUCUCCCUUUAAUACAUUUGCUACAGUCUAGAGUUUGGGAGUCCAGCUUGUAUUUCAAAAAGGGGGGAUUAAAUUAUUAAAGGGCUCUACUAUGUAGCAGCUAUUGAGUCUAAAUCCAUGGUUAGUGCUCUAAAAAAGAUCCAAGACUGUCUAAACUCUAGAUCAAUUACUGCUUUCCUAUACUUUCUGCAGUUCGUAGGGACUGUAUUGUCUUUGUAUACAGAACAUUUCGUUUUCUAAAUUUUUUUUUUAACUUCUUCAGGAUACCUUCAGAGUGUACUUCAGUGAUCAUAAACUCUUUGAGGGACUGAAUUUGAACUCCAAGCAGCAGAACUGUUUUUGCACUGCUCAAAAUUUAAUAAUCAAUAAUCAAUCUGCAUAAUAAUGUUUUAUCAACUGUUUGGAUUACAUUCUUGGUAGAUGACCUAUAGUUAAUUGAUUUAAUCAAAAUAUAAGGUGAGAAGGGGUACAUUCACUAUCAAGUUGACAAACAUUUACUCAAGUUUGGUAAACAUCAGGCAGCACAAGUGGUCUCCAAACCCAUGUCAGUGGGACAUUUGCUAAAUGGAAUACUCAGCCUUUGCGAUGGUAAAAAUUACCUUAGGCUUUCUAUAGAAGAAGAGUAAAAAUAACUCCUUAUUUCACAUUAGGCAUCCUGUUAAAAUUAUCUACCCAUUUAAUACUACUUCUGAUCACUGGCUUAACUGAGGAAUAGAACUAAUAGGUGGAAGGAGGAGCUGGUGUGUCCAGAGGUAGAGACAGGGCACAUGGGAGAGUUUCCACACAAUAGUGGCUUUACCCAGUUGCAGGACUAAAAUGGUGGGGUGAGACUGGGU
ensembl:lncRNA